GUGGUUUUCCUGGUUGCUGGGAGCCUUUGAUAGAGUUGAGACAGAUGGCGACAUGCUCUUGUUACAGUCAAAGAAACUGCACAGCUAAAGAAAGAGCAUUUAAAUGACCUGCCCAAGGUCACACAGCUCACGAGUGGCAGACCUGAGGCUGGAGCCCUGGUGUCCUGGUUCCCCGUCUGAUGGACCUCCCCGAGCUUCCUAUGAUCAAGGUGUUGAAGGAGAAGCUGGAGGAGCAUGGCAGGUGUGCCGUGGAGGAGCUGGACUUUAUCCCCGCCCCUCCUUGCAUCAUGGGUGGCUCUGUAUCUGCUGAACUAACAGAUCACCACAGAAGUGCACUGAGCAGUUCCAGGCCCAGCCUUCCGGAGGACUGUGGCUUCCUUCCUCCCUCUUGGAACCCGGCUUCCGUACUGGGAGGAGCCCAAGGCACACGGAGAGGCCCAGAGCCGGUAGGGACUGGCAGCACCAUGGGGGAGCCAGCUUGGACGUCCCAGCCCCAUCACGUGCUGGUAAGGCCAGUCCACACAAGAGCAUCACAGAAUCAUGAAACGGGAUAAAAUGUUGUUUUAAGUGGUUACGUUUGGGUGUGGUUUGCUCUGCAGCAAAGAUAACUGAAACCUGUAAAUGAAACGUUCACAAGAAGGAAGGUUUAUCUUCUAAGCAAUGCGGAACAACAAAGCACGGCGUUACACUUAACUGAGCGGGAACGGAACCAUUCAG